rnacentral:sRNA from 1 species
AUGGCCGUCAUGGCGCCCCGAACUCUCUCCUGCUACUCUCGGGGGCCCUGGCCCUGACCCAGACCUGGGCGGGCUCCCACUCCAUGAGGUAUUUCUCCACAUCGGUGUCCCGGCCCGGCCGCGGGGAGCCCCGCUUCAUCGCCGUGGGCUACGUGGACGACACGCAGUUCGUGCGGUUCGACAGCGACGCCGCGAGCCAGAGGAUGGAGCCGCGGGCACCGUGGAUAGAGCAGGAGGGUCCGGAGUAUUGGGACCGGGAGACACGGAGUGUGAAGGCCGGCGCACAGAUCUACCGAGCGAACCUGGGGACCCUGCGCGGCUACUACAACCAGAGCGAGGACGGUGAGUGACCCCGGCCCGGGGCACAGGUCACGACCCCUCAUCCCCCACGGACGGGCCGGGUCGCCCACAGUCUCCGGGUCCGAGAUCCACCCCGAAGCCGCGGGACCCCGAGACCCUUGCCCCGGGAGAGGCCCAGGCGCCUUAAUCCGGUUUCAUUUUCAGUUUAGGCCAAAAAUCCCCCCGGGUUGGUCGGGGCCGGGCGGGGCUCGGGGAACAGGGCUGACCGCGGGGUCGGGGCCAGGUUCUCACACCAUCCAGAUAAUGUAUGGCUGCGACGUGGGGUCGGACGGGCGCUUCCUCCGCGGGUAUGAACAGCUCGCCUACGACGGCAAGGAUUACAUCGCCCUGAACGAGGACCUGCGCUCUUGGACCGCGGCGGACAUGGCAGCUCAGAUCACCCAGCGCAAGUGGGAGGCGGUCCAUGCGGCGGAGCAGCAGAGAGCCUACCUGGAGGGCCGGUGCGUGGAGUCGCUCCGCAGAUACCUGGAGAACGGGAAGGAGACGCUGCAGCGCACGGACCCCCCCAAGACACAUAUGACCCACCACCCCAUCUCCGACCAUGAGGCCACCCUGAGGUGCUGGGCCCUGGGCUUCUACCCUGCGGAGAUCACACUGACCUGGCAGCGGGAUGGGGAGGACCAGACCCAGGACACGGAGCUCGUGGAGACCAGGCCUGCAGGGGAUGGAACCUUCCAGAAGUGGGCGGCUGUGGUGGUACCUUCUGGAGAGGAGCAGAGAUACACCUGCCAUGUGCAGCAUGAGGGUCUGCCCAAGCCCCUCACCCUGAGAUGGGAGCCGUCUUCCCAGCCCACCAUCCCCAUCGUGGGCAUCAUUGCUGGCCUGGUUCUCCUUGGAGCUGUGAUCACUGGAGCUGUGGUCGCUGCCGUGAUGUGGAGGAGGAAGAGCUCAGGUGGAGAAGGGGUGAAGGAUAGAAAAGGAGGGAGCUACUCUCAGGCUGCAAGCAGUGACAGUGCCCAGGGCUCUGAUGUGUCUCUCACAGCUUGUAAAG